GACGAACGCUGGCGGCGUGCUUAACACAUGCAAGUCGAACGGAAAGGCCCUGCUUUUGUGGGGUGCUCGAGUGGCGAACGGGUGAGUAACACGUGAGUAACCUGCCCUUGACUUUGGGAUAACUUCAGGAAGCUGGGGCUAAUACCGGAUAGGAGCUCCUGCUGCAUGGUGGGGGUUGGAAAGUUUCGGCGGUUGGGGAUGGACUCGCGGCUUAUCAGCUUGUUGGUGGGGUAGUGGCUUACCAAGGCUUUGACGGGUAGCCGGCCUGAGAGGGUGACCGGCCACAUUGGGACUGAGAUACGGCGCAGACUCCUACGGGAGGCAGCAGUGGGGAAUAUUGCACAAUGGGCGGAAGCCUGAUGCAGCAACGCCGCGUGCGGGAUGACGGCCUUCGGGUUGUAAACCGCUUUCGCCUGUGACGAAGCGUGAGUGACGGUAAUGGGUAAAGAAGCACCGGCUAACUACGUG
rnacentral:rRNA from 1 species